rnacentral:rRNA from 1 species
ACACCGGCAGCUCAAGUGGUAGCCGCUUUUAUUGGGCCUAAAGCGUCCGUAGCCGGUCUGAUAAGUCUCUGGUGAAAUCCCACAGCUUAACUGUGGGAAUUGCUGGAGAUACUAUCAUGACUCGAGGUCGGGAGAGGCUGGAGGUACUCCCAGGGUAGGGGUGAAAUCCUGUAAUCCUGGGAGGACCACCUGUGGCGAAGGCGUCCAGCUGGAACGAACCUGACGGGGAGGGACGAAAGCCAGGGGCGCGAACCGGAUUAGAUACCCGGGUAGUCCUGGCCGUAAACGAUGUGGACUUGGUGUUGGGAUGGCUUCGAGCUGCCCCAGUGCCGAAGGGAAGCUGUUAAGUCCACCGCCUGGGAAGUACGGCCGCAAGGCUGAAACUUAAAGGAAUUGACGGGG